rnacentral:rRNA from 1 species
UACGGAGGAUCCAAGCGUUAUCCGGAAUCAUUGGGUUUAAAGGGUCCGUAGGCGGUUUGGUAAGUCAGUGGUGAAAGCCCAUCGCUCAACGGUGGAACGGCCAUUGAUACUGCCAGACUUGAAUUAUUAGGAAGUAACUAGAAUAUGUAGUGUAGCGGUGAGAUGCUUAGAGAUUACAUGGAAUACCAAUUGCGAAGGCAGGUUACUACUAAUGGAUUGACGCUGAUGGACGAAAGCGUGGGUAGCGAACAGG